GGAAGAGAGAGAAGGAUGUGGCGGAGGCGGCAGGUCAGGAGAGGGCCAGAACCGAAACAGGAAAAUGCCAGGGGGCCAUACCCACAUCAAAGGCAAAAAUGAGAAAGGGAGUCUAGGAAGGCGACAUGGGUCCCUGGGCGAGAGGAAGCGGACUGGCACCAGGCUGGACUAGGAAGCCGUAAGGUGUCAGCAGAGCCUGCGGAGGAUGGAACAAAGGAGACCUCUCGCGGCGGAGGAGACAGUCACCUGGCGGAGGACGAACGCGGCGAGCAGAGCAGGGAAGUUCCUGGGCUCCCGUAAAGUGAUGAGACGUUGUGAAUUCGAAGUAGGUGGGAGAGAAGAGGGACGUGUGGUCUGUAACCACCAAGACGCCACAGGAUCAGAUGCAUCCACCCCUGCUGAGGCCCGUGACCAUCUAAAGGGGAACGUCAUUUGAGAGGCCCUACUCAUGGAUGAGAAGCCCUCUCUCUCCACUGUGGGCUGUGCUGGGUUGACGGGGCGUUGCCGUGGAAUCAGGGUUUCCUCAGCACCCACAUCUGGGCACCCUCAUAAGAUAGCGCGAUUCCAACAUUCGAGGUUCCCAACAGCCCAGAUGCCCCACAUCCAACUCUUGAGCCCACUCGGAGCUCUCCAUGCUCGCUCACAUGUCCCUCUUGCAAGCAGCCCGAUUUGCUGACGUGGUGUUCAUGGGCAGUAAGAUGUUAAUGUAUUUUCCCUGGUCACCUUUGCAGCUCCACUGUUUUGAGUGGGUUAUUUCAAGGGGAGAAGGUGCUCCUCAGAGGGUUGUCACAAGUGAUAUCUUUCCUUUGUGUCUGCCAGGUUAGCCCCCUUCACCUGUAAGAGCUUGGAGCCUAGAUUUGUUAUUCAUUUAUUCCAGUUUUACUGAGUGGUGUCAUGCCAGGCACUUCUUUAGGUACUAAGGAUAAGGCAGUAAAUACAAUAUAGACUCUAGGGAUGUGGAACUUAACAUCCCAGUGGGGAUGAAGAUGAUCAUGAGUAAAUGUAGAUGAGAUGGUGACCGAUGUUACAAAGAAAUGUAGACUAGGGUAAGAAUAGAGUGGCAGAGGAGGUGCUGCCUUAUACAUGAUGGUCAGGGACAGGUCUACCCUUAAUACUUGCAAGAACUGAGUGAGUAGUACAAAUGGGGGCUCACCUAUGCUGUCUCUAUAUUUUAAAACUACAAACCGAAUUAAACCAUGAUAUAAAAUUCCUUUUAUCUUGACAUCUAUACCUUCAUCAUAAUCUGGAAGGCCACAUUUAUGUUUAGGAUUCUUGGACCCUUCUGAGAUAUGCCCUUGAAUGCAGUGCUUUGGAGGGGGAACAGGUCCUUGGCCCUCAGCCUGCCUUCUCUUGGCACCUUAGCUCUGUCCCAUAUUUCAGUGGCCUUGUGCCCACACCUAUAACAACUCUGGCUGCACAUCAGAGUUUUGUCCACACCUCCUACAAAUAGCCUCUCCUUGACCACCACUUGCUCCUCAGGAGGACAGACCUUGGGAAAGGGCUGAUGCAGGCUGUAGCUGGUAACCCGUUGCUAUUGGAGCAGUAGGUUCUAGGGUCCCAGGUACUCACAGUGUGCUCUAAAAAGGGGAGAGGGGCAAGAACUUUGGGUACAUCCCACUGGGCUUCUUGCUCUGUGGAAAAGAACAUUGAUGGAAGAGGAUCAGGUGCUCAGAGCCCUAGAUUGGGUCACCUCUUGCCGCUGUCUUAAGGCAGUUUUAAAGAGGUAACUUUGAGCCAAAGACCUAAAUGAAGUAUGGGAGGAAGGCUUGUAGCAAUCUGGGUUAGGAGCAUUCCAGGAAGAGGUCCAGAGGUUGGAGUUUUUACUCCUCUCAUGUGUUCAUAUUCCCUCUGCCCCAUGUCUUAAACUGCAUAAAGAAAUUAUGUGUUAACCAAUUGGGGUGUCAGUACCUUGCUAACUCUCCUCCCCCACGACACAGCCAAUUCCAGUUGCUGGGUACUCCCCUGGGACUCAGUCUCUGUACAGCUUCUGCUCUCCAACUCUUCUCACUACUAUCAGCUUCUGGGACCAGAAUGGCUGGUCCUCUAGUAACCCUGGAUUCCAUGGGUUGGAAGUACUCCAGCGGCUAGCUCAGGUUCCAGUAAAGUUUGGUACCUUCAAAUGUCUCUGUUGUUAAACAGUGUUGUAGUUCUCAUUGCGUGGGCCUAGAAAUUAAGGAAACAAUGUCUACUGAACAUACUGAGUGCCUGAGAAAGUCACCCCGGAUAAAUACACAAAGAUCUGCUUGUUUGCAUAUCAGUUUCAGAGCAUCAGAAAUGGAAAUGCAAACUAUUUGAAUGGAGUAGGGAAAAGUUUCUUGCCAGUGGGGCCAAAGAGGUUUAGGACUGAGUUUUAAAGUCUUGUGUUUCUGUAUCUCAUCUGAAGAGGGAUUUUCAACUUUUUAAAGUCUUGGAAGCCUUUGUUCACACAGAAUCUUGAAAGGAAACUUAAACAGAUAAGAGCAAGAACAAAAAUAUAACCUAGAGUAAAACUCACUUUCUAUGGUCAAUGGGGACCCUAGGCCUCCAUUUGACAAUCACUGAUUUAGAAUCAAGAACAGAAAUCACAAUUUGCCCUUCCUGGAACUUCUGGGAUGAAAAGGUUACAGAAAAGAAAAUUUACUCAGGAAUGGGUGUUGAGAGGAACGGGUGCUGAGGAAAGCCCUGGAGGCUGGAGGGGACACUUAGAAAUUCCUACCCAAGUUCCCUGUUCCCCCUUUCGACAUGUAAGUUGUAGGAAAGGGGGCCGAGAUGAAUCAGAUGAGCAAAUCAUCAUAGUAGGAGCUAGCACUUUGCACCUGCUGCUCUAAACAUUUACAGACUGUACUCAUUUAGUCCCCACACCAACCCUCAAUAUGAGGUUGAUAUUAUAGCAACUCUCAACCUGAAGAUGAGGUUGAUAAACGAUUUUUAUAGAUGGGACUGAAGUGGAAGGGGUUCUGUUGACUUUCCCACUUGUGAAUCAUUCAUGUGUUAUGCAUGAAAAAAAGAGGGAAUUUGGAAGUCUGCCACCCAAAAAUGAAAUAGAUUGUGAGAGGAACGCAGCUUAUACACAAAUACACAUAAUUAUAGUGAGCAACAGAAAAGUGUUUGGUAACAUACAUCACCUGGUAACAUUAGAUGACUUUCCCCUCACUCAUUCAUACCAGGGAUCAGAGAAGGUGUAUGCAGCUGGAGGCAGGUGCCCAGCAACAGAAGAGAGACCCUGGCUUUGUCCCUUCAAAACUCUAGGUCUUCCAGAUGAACCUUUCCAUAGCUGGAAGCAGUUAGAACCCUAAUUCUGAAAGUUGGAAGAGAAAUAGAGUCUGUAUCAGGUAUGGCAGGAAAGAGAAGGCACAUUUCAAGGAUCUACUUAAAAUGGUUUACUGAAAGGACUAUUCACAGGGUUGUGUGCAGGGCAAAGGGAACUAAUCUAGGGACUGGCAACAGCAGAAAGCCUUUUUAGCACAACUGGACCGAAGCAGAGAAAGGGAGAGAACUUUUUGAUGAAAACCAGUGACAGCAGGAGGUGAGGGAGAGGGGCUGCCCAACCAGGGUCGCAACCACGUGAUCCCACCAUUGCUGGAAACACAGGGAGGCACAGGGAGAGUGUGACUUCCACUUGUUUCUCCUCCAGUCCUCCAGUUUCUUGCCAUUGCCUCCCAUUGGCCAAACCCAAUCAAAGCCAGAGGGUGAACAUACCCCAAUAAUAUAGUCCAUAGAAACUGGCUUCCAAGACAAAAGGCAGGACAGAGGAGGGUGGAGAAUGGAGAAUAAUGUACCUAGUACAGGGUCCCCAAAUUUUGGCCCUUCAAGGACUUAGAAAUAAGAAUGGAAGGGCCAGGCUCAGUGGCUCAUACCUGUAAUCCCAGCACGUGGGAGGCUGAGGCAGGUGGAUCACCUGAGGUUGGGAUUUCAAGACCAGCCUCACCAACAUGGAGAAACCCUAUCUCUACUAAAAAUACAAAAUUAACCAGGCAUAGUAGUGCAUGCCUGUACUCCUAGCUACUCAGGAGGCUGAGGCAGGAGAAUCGCUUGAACCCAGGAGGCAGAGGUUGUGGUGAGCCGAGAUCAUGCCCUUGCACUCCA